CUGGCGGCCGUCUAUGUCGCAGUAAUGCCACGCUUGGCAUCUUGUUUCCACGUCCGCGAAGAAGCCUGGGUAUGGCUGGUCGUCGCAGUAGAAAUUCGUGUAGGGAACUUUGCCAAGCACUGGAUAAUCCGUGCCUGCUCGACCUAGAGAAGAAUAGAUGGUUCAUUUUGUUAUUGGGAACGGCAAGAAAGGAAGUGCAAGAGAACUGGUGAGAAGAUGGUUGAAAAAUUUCUGGACUUCAUUCGCCUAUAUAUAUAACAUGGACAUAAUUAAACAUAUGACAUAAUUCAGUUUCAAUUUGAUGUGACAAUACAAUCAGAUCAUGCGAUCUUCGGGUUUCUUCGGGUUUCAGUCAGGACAGACUUGAAACUGUUUCAAGCUCGAACCAACGAACUGCAACGUUCACGAAACUUCGAAACGAAAUCUGAAACACAACUCUUCCUCCUUUACUAUUUUAAAAGUCGCACACUGCAAAACUGCAGUAACAAUCAUCUUCAUCUUCAAGGACGAUUCCUAAAAUCCACCCGUCCAAACAUUAUUCUUCGGUUCAAGGUGAUUAUCCUGCGAAGGCGGUAAACGACGAACGUCUACCGUGUUUUAUCCGAAAAUCUCAUUAACCGACAUAACAAGAUACAGAACGAUUCCGAGGGACGAUAGCUAGCGAAUAGAAGGAGGAAACAGAGAGAAGAGGAUCUUUCCCCUCGAACCGAUCGCGGAAAUCACGAGACGGCGAGCGGAUCGAGCAAAGCUCUCUCUGCGAGAGGCCUGCGCUUUCGAUUGUAUCCUCGAUUAAUUGGUGGAAAUGCCGCGAGGUCGAGAUGCACCGCGCGUGUUCGGCCCAGCUGACACGUGUAUUACCUGUACAAAGCAGCCACCUGUAUUACCUGCACAAAGCAGUCACCUCGCCAGGUAUCGACGUGUGCACGUCGACGGCAGCCAAAUCCCCGAUCUGCCGACGCGUCUACUGCUUAACGAUGCAUGCAACAUGCUUCCCCCGACCUGUUUACACCAUGGCGAGUAGAGAUCCCCCACCGUUUAAUCCAUCGGAUUAUCGUGGAUCUGUUUGACCAUCCUCGAAGAUGAUUCUGUUUGCUAGGAUCCUGGGGUGGAGGAGGUAUUGUUACAGAUAUCGCGGAAUUGCGGUGAAUUUAGGGGCGAAAGAAGAAACGAAAUUGUUGGAAAGUUUGGAAGUGACGUUGUAUAAUUUUAGAUAAUUAACAUUUCGAGAGUAUACUAAACUGAUGGAGAAUCCAGGGUGGAGGAUUUGAGAAGUAAUUGCCUCUUUGUUAGGAUUUAAUAAGGAGAAGAUUUUUCAGAGUAUUAUGAAGAUUCUCGGCUUGUGUUAUAAUAACUUUAAGCUCCCUUGAUAGUAGUAUAUUAACGUGCAAGGUUAGCGCUUUGAAGAUGAUAGUAUACCUCGUAAUGAUAGUAGUAAAUUCAUAAAGUUAAUUAAUAGAGGUAUUCAGGCUUCGACAACUGGGAUUUUCGCUUGUUUCCUUAAAGUAUUUAGUCUUUUACAUUAGAGCCUGGAAUUUUAAGAAACUUGAAUUUCAAAUCGAAUAAUAAAAAUUCCAUUAUUUAUUUUUCAACGAUCAAUAGAAUAGAAUAUUUAGUUGCUUAUGUAGUAACAAAUUUCUAUGUCGAAUUUCUACGAAUUUACGAUUUCGAUUGUGCUUUCGGGCCUUUAUUUGCUCAUAUUCGUGGCAAUUCGAUUAUUCUGUCACGCGAUACGUAUUUGAUCACAACCUUGUUAUAUCAUGGUCCGUAUAUUCCACGCGUUAUUUAUAUAAUAAUAAUGGAGAUAGCUAUUAGCACGGUGAACAAAGAGAGGAAAAAAGCUUGAUCUGGAUAACGCAGUAGAUUGGGACAAGCAUCUGAAGAGCGAAUUGUCUCUGGAUCAAACCUUAAUCCAGUAAACCGGCCGGCUGAUCCUUUUUCCUCCCUACAAUUUGUAUUCUCAAGGGAAACUGCGAUUUGCAUUCAUAGAGUUCUCCACGCUUUCCUCGAGUCCAGCUCACAGUUCCAAAGAACUGUCCUUUUAUUUCUAUAAAGAAGGCGAUUAUCGAAGGUGCUACUUAUUUACGUCGUUGCAAAUAACACUUUGUAUUUUACUAUCGGAUAGUGAUAUGUAAUAUUUAUAAAUACUGUAGUAUCGUAAACUAUUAUAAUUAGUUUAUUAAUAAUAAAUGG